ensembl:lncRNA novel transcript, antisense to ARAP1
GGGGGUGUGGCUUAGGAGGGCCUUAGUAAGGACUUUUCACUCUGCUUUUACCCCGAUACCUGCUGAUUGGAAAGCCUCAUGUCUUCUACAGACAGCACCUAACCUGAUGAUGGCCAUGUGCCCAGGAGGGCCUGGAACCAACUGGGCUGCAGGCAUGGAACAAUCAGGGCUGCAGACAGGGAGGAAAUUAGGCAGGCGGGAGGAAAUCAGGCUUCGGACAUGGAAGAAACAAGAUGUGGGGGAAUAUAAGGAAGAAACCUGUAGGCACACACAGAAGAAGCAAGGCUGGGAGCACUAGAGCAAUCGGCCUGCAAACUGGAAGACAGCUGAUGGCAGAAAUGGAAAGACUGAGACAGAGGCUAUAAAAGAGAUUCGGCUGCAGGCAUGGAAAACACAAGGUUCUGGGUAUGAGGAAGGAUGUGGGGGAAACUGGACUCCAGAUACACUGUGCAGAUGAAGUCACCGGCAUGCUGCAGGGAGACAGGGCUCAGCUGGGGGCCUAGGAAAUGGGUGCAGGUGGCAGGUCCAAGCCCCCCACCCAGGCUCCAGCCUUCACCUGGGUCCCACUGGCAGUGCCAGCCACGCGCAUCUUCACAAUGGCAGUGAUCUCCUCCCGCUGCUUCCUGAGCUCUUCCUCAUCCACCUGGGAAGGGGCGAGAGGCAGGGACAGGUGGUCACCGUCAUCUGCAAGGAUCACCCCUGCCCUCCACUGCCCACUGGCCAGGGACGCACACUAAACACCACCACAUAGUGGUUAAUGAGGUCUUCCACCACACGGCCAGCCUUGUAGUCCUGCCCAUCUGUCUGGAAGAGCGUGGGCCCAAACACAAUUGCCA